rnacentral:rRNA from 1 species
GAUGAACGCUGGCGGCGUGCCUAAUACAUGCAAGUCGAGCGAACGGACGAGAAGCUUGCUUCUCUGAUGUUAGCGGCGGACGGGUGAGUAACACGUGGAUAACCUACCUAUAAGACUGGGAUAACUUCGGGAAACCGGAGCUAAUACCGGAUAAUAUUUUGAACCGCAUGGUUCAAAAGUGAAAGACGGUCUUGCUGUCACUUAUAGAUGGAUCCGCGCUGCAUUAGCUAGUUGGUAAGGUAACGGCUUACCAAGGCAACGAUGCAUAGCCGACCUGAGAGGGUGAUCGGCCACACGGGAACGGAAACACGGUCCAGACUCCUGCGGGAGGCAGCAGUAGGGAAUCGUCCGCAAUGGUCGAAAGCCUGACGGAGCAACGCCGCGUGAGUGAUGAAGGUCUUCGGAUCGUAAAACUCUGUUAUUAGGGAAGAACAUAUGUGUAAGGAACUGUGCACAUCUUGACGGUACCUAAUCAGAAAGCCACGGCUAACUACGUG